AACACAUUUGUGAAGGAAUUUUUACUCCCCAAAAGAGCGCCCCCCCAUGGCAGGAGAAAAAAGUCAAUUUUUUCUUGUCCCCUAAGGUGAAAAUACAUAUUGUUGAGAUUCACGCCUAUACGCUUUGUCAUAUUGAUACAAAAUUUGACAAUCACGUGCCUUGCCUGGUAUCAUUUUUUUCAGCACAACCUCACCUGUGCGAAUUUACAGUUAUUUUAUCAUGUUGACAUACUGAAUUUACACAAUGGACCCAAAUUCACACACAAAACAUAAAAUCCGAGUGGAAAAAAGUAACAUUUUUACUGUGAAAACCACAAAUAUGUGUGAUGAACUGUUUUUAAAACUUAAACUUCAAAUAAAAAUUGUAAACUUCAAAACAUAUGCAAAUUUUUAACAAAGAACAUAGUGAUUUACCUCUAUUUACAUCAAAAUGCAGGCAAUGGCCCAGGCGUUCUUUGUAAAAUUAUUUACAAAACACUGUAUAGUCUCACAAAUGUCACUUUUUAUUUAUGCCACUACAAAAAAACAUGAUGUAAAUGAUGCAUGAUGUAAAACAUGAUGUAAAAAACUAGAUCCUCCUCUAUGUCAGUCCAUGUGUAAUUUUUCCAUAAUUCUUUGUUUUUUGCAGCAUUUUUGUUAGUGUAACUGCAGAUUGCGCUGACAGUGUCUAUGGCACAAAAAAAAAAAAAAUUAAAAUGCCUCAACAUGAACCCCUGGUGGUCUCUGAGGGUGAAACCUGCUAACUGCUGCAGCUCUGUCAGCUUCAGUCUCCCAUGCAGAGCUCUGAGCGCAUGUGUGGCUCUGCACCCUUAGCAGCGUUGCUAACUCCUCAGUAAGGAAAGCCUGCUUCAUGUCAGAGUCUCUAAACUCCAGAAGAAGUCGAUAAAAGUCCCUUUCUUUCUAAAAAAAAAGUCGUUAGGGGGUCUGAAAAGUCAUUGAAUCUAACAACAAAGUCGCUAGGUUUGCAACUACGUGUCCCAGACUGCAUCCCUGCUGAGAGUCCCUCCCUCGCUUCUCAUGUUGCAGGAAGAACGUAAGCACCCGCCCCUUGUCAAUCAGUCACCAUAUAAUUUUGGAUUGGUUGUUGUGGUGAAGUUUUCCACCAAUAGGAGAGAUGUUGUGGUGUGUUUUUUUUUUCUUUUGGCAAGCCUUUUCCGCCUGUAAGACCUGUCGCUAAUGUCUGCAUGCUAUGUUUUCCUGUCUCAUACAGCGCGAUCGAGCGCCGAACGUGAUCAAAAUAAGCAGAAAAAAAGUAUCGCGGACAUAAUUUAUCAUAACUCUGGUUUUAUUUGGCCUAUCAACACAAUUUAAAAACUGGUAUAUAGGUUGAGGUCCUCACUUUUGAGAUAAGUUGAAACGGAGAGUCAACGAGGCUCCGUCUUGCAGCUACAUCCGGUUAAAUAUGUCAUGUGACUUGAACGCACACACAGACACACACACACACACACACACACACACACACACACACACUCAGAGUCUGGUUUUUAGCACCUGCAAAAACAUGCUAUUUACAUAUUUGACAAGAAUGCAGAGGCUCCUUUUGCCCCUGAAAAAAAUCAAAUUUCAAACACAACUUGACUGGUCAUUUCUCCAAAAGACAACCAUGAAGCUCCAUCCAAACCUGAAGCAGGCAGUUGGUGCAUGUGUACAGUAACCUGAGGGGAGUGAGGUGAGUGCUUCUGAGGAGAACAUGAGCAGUGAAGAUUCACUUUGGAGCUAGAACAGAGAUAUGCACAUGAUUAUACAGGGGCAGGGGCUCAAGUUUUUUCCAGUCGUUUAUACAAUAUGGAAAUUAAUGUGAAAUUGAAACACAAAGUAUUAAUAGAAAGGUAAUGACUGUCCUGUGUAGGUGACAGUGAUAUCCAAUAGGCUAGGCACUCACGAGGCUGGCUGUGGCAAGUGUAAGUGAAAGCAACACGCACUGGCAAGAAGAACAGCAAACGCCGAUGAAGGAAAAGGGUCUUUGCAGUGAUGGGCGUUACCAGAGAGGGCGAUGGCCAGAGGACACAAAUGGGACGGGGAGGCAGCACGUUGGGGGGGGGACGCGACACGGCUCGGGCCCGCCAGUGCCCCAACGGGGUCCUAGUUAUUAUUAUUAUUAUUUUUCCUCCCCUUUGAACUGGAAAAUGGCCCACUUCCCACUGGCGAAAACUCAUGAAAUUUGGCAGGACGACCGGGCCUGGUGAAAAUUUGAUAUUCCGAAGUCGCCCAAACAAGAAAAUGCAAAAUGGCUCCAUAGCGCCCCCUAAGGUGAAAAUUCACACUAUUGACUGUCACGCCUGUACGCUUUGUCAAAAUGACACAAAAAUUGACACACACAUGUAUCUCAAUAAGAUCUACGAAAAAGUCAGUGCGGGCGUAUCUGUCAAAUGUACGGUUAAAGGGUUAUUUCGCAUUUUUUGCCGAUCCGCACACAUUGGAAUUUCGCUAACUCCUCCGAAGGCUUUCGUUCCACCGGCACCACAUUUGCUCAGGCCAAUCUACACCCCAUGGCCAUUAAAAGUUAUUCAAAUCAUGACGCUGCACCCCAAGGUUUAGGUUCUAGGGGGCGCCAAAGAUAACCCUAAGAUCCACAUAUUUAAAAGUCUUAUAACUUUUUAUUUUUGCCCUCACUGGCCUCCAAGUUUUCUAGGAUGAUGCAAUGUCCAGCCAUCAACACAUUUGUGAAGGAAUUUUUACUCCCCAAAAGAGCGCCCCCCAUGGCAGGAGAAAAAAGUCCAUUUUUUCUUGUCCCCAAAGGUGAAAAUACACAUUGUUGAGUGUAACACCUGUACGCUUUGGCAAAAUGACACAAAAAUUGACACACACAUGUAUCUCAAUAAGAUCUACGAAAAAGUCAAUGCGCGCGUAUCUGUCAAAUGUACGGUUAAAGGGUUAUUCCGCAUUUUUUGCCGAUCCGCACACAUUGGAAUUUCGCUAACUCCUCCGAAGGCUUUCGUUCCACCGGCACCACAUUUGCUCAGGCCAAUCUACACCCCAUGGCCAUUAAAAGUUAUUCAAAUCAUGACGCUGCACCCCACGGUUUAGGUUCUAGGGGGAGCCAAAGAUAACCGUAAAAUCCACAUAUUUAAAAGUCUUAUAACUUUUUAUUUUUGUCCCCACUGGCCUCCAAGUUUUCUAGGAUGAUGCAAUGUCCAGCCAUCAACACAUUUGUGAAGGAAUUUUUACUCGGCAAAAGAGCGCCCCCCAUGGCAGGAGAAAAAAGUCAAUUUUUUCUUGUCCACUAAGGUGAAAAUACACAUUGUUGAGUGCUACGCCUGUAUGUUUUGUCGUAUUGACACAAAAUUUUACAUACACGUGUAUUUCAAUAAGAUCUUCGAAAAAGUCAAUGGCCACGUAUCUGUAAAAUGUACGGUUGAAGGGUUAUUUCGCAUUUUUUGCAGAUUCGCACACAUUGGAAUUUCGCUAAUUCCUCCGAAGGCUUUCGUUCCACCGGCACCACAUUUGCUCAGGCCAAUCUACACCCCAUGGCCAUUAAAAGUUAUUCAAAUCAUGACGCUGCACCCCACGGUUUAGGUUCUAGGGGGCGCCAAAGAUAACCCUAAAAUCCACAUAUUUAAAAGUCUUAUAACUUUUUAUUUUUGUCCUCACUGGCCUCCAUGUUUUCUAGGAUGAUGCAAUGUCCAGCCAUCAACACAUUUGUGAAGGAGUUUUUCUCUUUAAAAGAGCGCCCCCCAUGGCAGGAGAAUAAAGUCAAGUUUUUCCUGUUCAUCAUUCAAUGGCUCAAACGCACUGCUCUCUCGGCAAAAGCGAAAGGAGGAGCAACUUGCCAUUUGGAUAUAUCUUAGCUGUGUUUGUGCCCUCACUCAUGGUCCAGACUUUUUUCAAAUAGGACAUGGAGUUUUUCUGCAGCGAGCGUUUUGGUAGAAACUGCGCCUCCCGUUCAUUAUAAUGGUAAAUGACCACAAACAAGUGCGCACACCAUCUUUGGACCUUGAGUGUGACGCGAUCGGGUGGGGGAGGCGGUCGCGCUGGGGGCGGCGUGACACGGCUCGGGCCCGCCAGUGCCCCAACGGGGCCCUAGUGUUAUUAUUAUUAGGGCCCGAGCGUAGCUGCUAAGCAGCUGCGAGAGCCCUAUUAUUCCCCAAGUGGUUUUUCUUUGUUUCUUUCUUUCUUCUUUUUCCUCCCCUUUGAACUGGAAAAUGGCCCACUUCCCACUGGCGAAAACUCAUGAAAUUUGGCAGGACGACCGGGCCUGGUGAAAAAUUUGAUAUUCCGAAGUCGCCCAAACAAGAAAAUGCAAAAUGGCUCCAUAGCGCCCCCUAAGGUGAAAAUUCACACUAUUGACUGUCACGCCUUUACGCUUUGUCAAAAUGACACAAAAAUUGACACACACAUGUAUCUCAAUAAGAUCUACAAAAAAGUCAGUGCGGGCGUAUCUGUCAAAUGUACGGUUAAAGGGUUAUUCCGCAUUUUUUGCCGAUGCGCACACAUUGGAAUUUUGCUAACUCCUCCGAAGGCUUUCUUUCCACCGGCACCACAUUUGCUCAGGCCAAUCUACACCCCAUGGCCAUUAAAAGUUAUUCAAAUCAUGACGCUGCACCCCACGGUUUAGGUUCUAGGGGGCGCCAAAGAUAACCCUAAAAUCCACAUAUUUAAAAGUCUUAUAACUUUUUAUUUUUGCCCUCACUGGCCUCCAUGUUUUCUAGGAUGAUGCAAUGUCUAGCCAUCAACACAUUUGUGAAGGAAUUUUUACUCCCCAAAAGAGCGCCCCCCCAUGGCAGGAGAAAAAAGUCCAUUUUUUCUUGUCCCCUAAGGUGAAAAUACACAUUGUUGAGUGUCACGCCUGUACGCUUUGUCAUAUUGACACAAAAUUUGACACACACAUGUAUCUCAAUAAGAUCUACGAAAAAGUCAAAGCACGCGUAUCUGUCAAAUGUACGGUUAAAGGGUUAUUCCGCAUUUUUUGCCGAUCCGCACACAUUGGAAUUUCGCUAACUCCUCCUAAGGCUGGCGUUCCACCGGCACCACAUUUGCUCAGGCCAAUCUACACCCCAUGGCCAUUAAAAGUUAUUCAAAUCAUGACGCUGCACCCCACGGUUUAGGUUCUAGGGGGCGCCAAAUAUAACCCUAAAAUCCACAUAUUUCAAAAUCUUAUAACUUUUUAUUUUUGUCCUCACUGGCCUCCAAGUUUUCUAGGAUGAUGCAAUGUCCAGCCAUCAACACAUUUGUGAAGGAAUUUUUACUCCCCAAAAGAGCGCCCCCCAUGGCAGGAGAAAAAAGUCCAUUUUUUCUUGUCCCCUAAGGUGAAAAUUCACAUUGUUGAGUGUGACACCUGUACGCUUUGUCAUAUUGACACAAAAUUUGACAAUCACGUGUAUCUCAAUAAGAUCUACGAAAAAGUCAAUGCGCGCGUAUCUGUCAAAUGUACGGUUAAAGGGCUAUUUUGCAUUUUUUGCCGAUUCGCACACAUUGGAAUGUGGCUAACUCCUCCUAAGGCUUUCGUCCCACUGACACCAAAUUUGCUCAGGCCAAUCUACACCCCAUGGCCAUUCAAAGUUGUAAAAAUCAUGACGCUGCACCCCACGGUUUACGUUCUAGGGGGCGCCAAAGAUGACCCAAAUAUCCACAUUCUUAAAAGAAUCCACAUCCCCCCCCGCCCCCCCCCCCCCCCCCCCCCCCAUCCCCCAUACCCCAUUCCCCAUGGCAGGAGAAACAGUCAAGUUUUUCCUGCCCAUCACUCAAUGGCUCAAUCGCAUCGCUCUCCCGGCAACACCGUAACGAGGAGCAACUUGCCGUUUGGAUAUAUCCUAGCUGUGUUUGUGACCUCACUCAUGGUCCAGACUUUUUUCAAAUAGGACAUGUAGUUUGUCUGCAGCGAGUGUUUUGGUAGAAACUGCGCCUCCCAUUCAUUAUAAUGGGAAAUGACCACAGACAAGUGCGCACACCAUCUUUGGACCUUGAGUGUGACGCGAUCGGGAGGGGGAGGUGGUCGCGCUGGGGGCGGCGCGACGCGGCUCGGGCCCGACAGUGCCCCACCGGGGCCCUAGUUAUUUUUCCUCCCCUUUGAACUGGAAAAUGGCCCACUUCCCACUGGCGAAAACUCAUGAAAUUUGGCAGGACGACCGGGCCUGGUGAAAAAUUUGAUAUUCCGAAGUCGCCCAAUCAAGAAAAUGCAAAAUGGCUCCAUAGCGCCCCCUAAGGUGAAAAUUCACACUAUUGACUGUCACGCCUGUAUGCUUUGUCAAAAUGACACAAAAAUUGACACACACAUGUAUCUCAAUAAGAUCUACAAAAAAGUCAGUGCGGGCGUAUCUGUCAAAUGUACGGUUAAAGGGUUAUUUCGCAUUUUUUGCCGAUCCGCACACAUUGGAAUUUCGCUAACUCCUCCGAAGGCUUUCGUUCCACCAGCACCACAUUUGCUCAGGCCAAUCUACACCCCAUGGCCAUUAAAAGUUAUUCAAAUCAUGACGCUGCACCCCACGGUUUAGGUUCUAGGGGGCGCCAAAGAUAACACUAAAAUCCACAUAUUUAAAAGUCUUAUAACUUUUUAUUUUUGUCCCCACUGGCCUCCAAGUUUUCUAGGAUGAUGCAAUGUCCAGCCAUCAACACAUUUGUGAAGGAAUUUUUACUCCCCAAAAGAGCGCCCCCCCAUGGCAGGAGAAAAAAGUCCAUUUUUUCUUGUCCCCUAAGGUGAAAAUACACAUUGUUGAGUGUCACGCCUAUACGCUUUGUCAAAAUGACACAAAAAUUGACACACACAUGUAACUCAAUAAGAUCUACAAAAAAGUCCAUGCGCGCGUAUCUGUCAAAUGUACAGUUAAAGGGUUAUUCCGCAUUUUUUGCCGAUACGCACACAUUGGAAUUUCGCUAACUCCUCCGAAGGCUUUCGUUCCACCGGCACCACAUUUGCUCAGGCCAAUCUACACCCCAUGGCCAUUAAAAGUUAUUCAAAUCAUGAUGCUGCACCCCAUGGUUUAGGUUCUAGGGGGCGCCAAAAAUAACCCAAAAAUCCACAUUCUUAAAUGUUUUAUAACUUUUUAUUUUUGUCCUCACUGGCCUCCAAGUUUUCUAGGAUGAUGCAAUGUCCAGCCAUCAACACAUUUGUGAAGGAAUUUUUACUCCCCAAAAGAGCGCCCCCCCAUGGUAGGAGAAAAAAGUCAAUUUUUUCUUGUCCCCUUACAUGAAAAUACACAUUGUUGAGUGUCACGCCUGAACGCUUUGUCAUAUUGACAAAAAAAUUGACAAUCAUGUGUAUCUCAAUUAGAUCUACGAAAAAGUCAAAGAGCGCGUAUCUUUAUAAUGUACGGUUAAAGGGCUAUUUUGCAUUUUUUGCCGAUUCGCACACAUUGGAAUGUGGCUAUCUCCUCCUAAGGCUUUCGUCCCACCGAUACCAAGUUUGCUCAGGGCAAUCUACACCCCAUGCCCAUUCAAAGUUGUAAAAAUCAUGACGCUGCACCCCACGGUUUACGUUCUAGUGGGCGCCAAAGAUGACCCACAAAUCCACAUUCUUAAAAGUCAUUUUGGCCACUGCAGGAGUACAGAGUACUGCAGUUCUAGGGGGCGCCAAAGAUGACCCAAAAAUCCACAUUCUUAAAAGUCUUUUUGGCCACUGCAGGAGUACAGAGUACUGCAGGAUACACACACAUAUACACACACGCCAACAUACACACACACACACACACACACACACACACACACACACACACACACACAGAGUCUGUUUUUUAGCACCUGCAAAAACAUGCUGUUUACAUAUUUGACAAGAAUGCAGAGGCUUCCUUUUGCCCCUGAAAAAAUCAAAUUUCAAACACAACUUGACUGUUCAUUUCUCCAAAAGACAACCAUGAAGUUCCAUUUCAAACCUGAAGCAGAUAGUUGGUGCAUGUGUACAGUAACCUGAGGGGAGUGAGGUGACUAUUUCUGAGGAGAACAUGAGCAGUGAAGAUUCACCUUGGAGCUAGAACAGGGACGUGCACAUGAUUAUACAGGGGCAGGGGCUCAAGUUUUUUCGAGUCAUUUAUACAAUAUGGAAAUUAAUGUGAAAUUAAACCACAAAUAUGUGUGAUGAACUGUUUUUAAAACUUAAACUUCAAAUAAAAAUUGUAAACUUCAAAACAUAUGCAAAUUUUUAACAAAGAACAUAGUGAUUUACCUCUAUUUACAUCAAAAUGCAGGCAAUGGCCCAGGCGUUCUUUGUAAAAUUAUUUACAAAACACUGUAUAGUCUCACAAAUGUCACUUUUUAUUUAUGCCACUACAAAAAAACAUGAUGUAAAUGAUGCAUGAUGUAAAACAUGAUGUAACAAACUUGUGUAGAUCCUCCUCUAUGUCAGUCCAUGUGUAAUUUUUCCAUAAUUCUUUGUUUUUUGCAGCAUUUUUGUUAGUGUAACUGCAGAUUGUGCUGACAGUGUCUAUGGCACAAAAAAAAAUAAAUAAAAUGCCUCAACAUGAACCCCUGGUGGUCUCUGAGGGUGAAACCUGCUAACUGCUGCAGCUCUGUCAGCUUCAGUCUCCCAUGCAGAGCUCUGAGCGCAUGUGUGGCUCUGCACCCUUAGCAGCGUUGCUAACUCCUCAGUAAGGAAAGCCUGCUUCAUGUCAGAGUCUCUAAACUCCAGAAGAAGUCGAUAAAAGUCCCUUUCUUUCUAAAAAAAAGUCGUUAGGGGGUCUGAAAAGUCAUUGAAUCUAACAACAAAGUCGCUAGGUUUGCAACUACGUGUCCCAGACUGCAUCCCUGCUGAGAGUCCCUCCCUCCCUUCUCAUGUUGCAGGAAGAACGUAAGCGCCCGCCCCUUGUCAAUCAGUCACCAUAUAAUUUUGGAUUGGUUGUUGUGGUGAAGUUUCCCACCAAUAGGAGAGAUGUUGUGGUGUGUUUUUUUUUUCUUUUGGCAAGCCUUUUCCGCCUGUAAGACCUGUCGCUAAUGUCUGCAUGCUAUGUUUUCCUGUCUCAUACAGCGCGAUCGAGCGCCGAACGUGAUCAAAAUAAGCAGAAAAAAAGUAUCGCGGACAUAAUUUAUCAUAACUCUGGUUUUAUUUGGCCUAUCAACACAAUUUAAAAACAGGUAUAUAGGUUGAGGUCCUCACUUUUGAGAUAAGUUGAAACGGAGAGUCAACGAGGCUCCGUCUUGCAGCUACAUCCGGUUAAAUAUGUCAUGUGACUUGAACGCACACACAGACACACACACACGCACACACACACACACACACACACUCAGAGUCUGGUUUUUAGCACCUGCAAAAACAUGCUAUUUACAUAUUUGACAAGAAUGCAGAGGCUCCUUUUGCCCCUGAAAAAAAAAUCAAAUUUCAAACACAACUUGACUGGUCAUUUCUCCAAAAGACAACCAUGAAGCUCCAUCCAAACCUGAAGCAGGCAGUUGGUGCAUGUGUACAGUAACCUGAGGGGAGUGAGGUGAGUGCUUCUGAGGAGAACAUGAGCAGUGAAGAUUCACCUUGGAGCUAGAACAGAGACAUGCACAUGAUUAUACAGGGGCAGGGGCUCAAGUUUUUUCCAGUCGUUUAUACAAUAUGGAAAUUAAUGUGAAAUUAAAACACAAAGUAUUAAUAGAAAGGUAAUGACUGUCCUGUGUAGGUGACAGUGAUAUCCAAUAGGCUAGGCACUCACGAGGCUGGCUGUGGCAAGUGUAAGUGAAAGCAACACGCACUGGCAGGAAGAACAGCAAACGCCGAUGAAGGAAAAGGGUCUUUGCAGUGAUGGGCGUUAACAGAGAGGGCGAUGGCCAGAGGACACAAAUGGGACGGGGAGGCAGCACGUUGGGGGGGGGGGGGGGAGACGCGACACGGCUCGGGCCCGCCAGUGCCCCAACGGGGUCCUAGUUUCUUUUUCCUCCCCUUUGAACUGGAAAAUGGCCCACUUCCCACUGGCGAAAACUCAUGAAAUUUGGCAGGACGACCGGGCCUGGUGAAAAAUUUGAUAUUCUGAAGUCGCCAAAACAAUAAAAUGCAAAAUGGCUCCAUAGCGCCCCCUAAGGUGAAAAUUCACACUAUUCACUGUCACGACUGUACGCUUUGUCAAAAUGACACAAAAAUUGACACACACAUGUAUCUCAAUAAGAUCUACAAAAAAGUCAGUGCGGCCGUAUCUGUCAAAAUUACGGUUAAAGGGUUAUUUCGCAUUUUUUGCCGAUCUGCACACAUUGGAAUUUCGCUAACUCCUCCGAAGGCUUUCGUUCCACCGGCACCACAUUUGCUCAGGCCAAUCUACACCCCGUGGCCAUUAAAAGUUAUCAAAAUCAUGACGCUGCACCCCAAGGUUUAGGUUCUAGGGGGCGCCAAAGAUAACACUAAAAUCCACAUAUUUAAAAGUCUUAUAACUUUUUAUUUUUGUCCUCACUGGCCUCCAAGUUUUCUAGGAUGAUGCAAUGUCCAGCCAUCAACACAUUUGUGAAGGAAUUUUUACUCCCCAAAAGAGCGCCCCCCCAUGGCAGGAGAAAAAAGUCCAUUUUUUCUUGUCCCCUAAGGUGAAAAUACACAUUGUUGAGUGUCACGCCUAUACGCUUUGUCAAAAUGACACAAAAAUUGACACACACAUGUAACUCAAUAAGAUCUACGAAAAAGUCAAUGCGCGCGUAUCUGUCAAAUGUACGGUUAAAGGGUUAUUCCGCAUUUUUUGCCGAUCCGCACACAUUGGAAUGUGGCUAACUCCUCCUAAGGCUUUCGUUCCACCGGCACCACAUUUUCUCAGGCCAAUCUACACCCCAUGGCCAUUAAAAUUUAUCAAAAUCAUGACGCUGCACCCCACGGUUUAGGUUCUAGGGGGCGCCAAAGAUAACCCUAAAAUCCACAUAUUUAAAAGUCUUAUAACUUUUUAUUUUUGUCCUCACUGGCCUGCAAGUUUUCUAGGAUGAUGCAAUGUCCAGCCAUCAACACAUUUGUGAAGGAAUUUUUACUCCCCAAAAGAGCGCCCCCCCAUGGCAGGAGAAAAAAGUCCAUUUUUUCUUGUCCCCUAAGGUGAAAAUACAUAUUGUUGAGAUUCACGCCUAUACGCUUUGUCAUAUUGACACAAAAUUUGACAAUCACGUGCCUUGCCUGGUAUCAUUUUUUUCAGCACAACCUCACCUGUGCGAAUUUACAGUUAUUUUAUCAUGUUGACAUACUGAAUUUACACAAUGGACCCAAAUUCACACACAAAACAUAAAAUCCGAGUGGAAAAAAGUAACAUUUUUACUGUGAAAACCACAAAUAUGUGUGAUGAACUGUUUUUAAAACUUAAACUUCAAAUAAAAAUUGUAAACUUCAAAACAUAUGCAAAUUUUUAACAAAGAACAUAGUGAUUUACCUCUAUUUACAUCAAAAUGCAGGCAAUGGCCCAGGCGUUCUUUGUAAAAUUAUUUACAAAACACUGUAUAGUCUCACAAAUGUCACUUUUUAUUUAUGCCACUACAAAAAAACAUGAUGUAAAUGAUGCAUGAUGUAAAACAUGAUGUAAAAAACUUGUGUAGAUCCUCCUGUAUGUCAGUCCAUGUGUAAUUUUUCCAUAAUUCUUUGUUUUUUGCAGCAUUUUUGUUAGUGUAACUGCAGAUUGUGCUGACAGUGUCUAUGGCACAAAAAAAAAAAAAAUUAAAAUGCCUCAACAUGAACCCCUGGUGGUCUCUGAGGGUGAAACCUGCUAACUGCUGCAGCUCUGUCAGCUUCAGUCUCCCAUGCAGAGCUCUGAGCGCAUGUGUGGCUCUGCACCCUUAGCAGCGUUGCUAACUCCUCAGUAAGGAAAGCCUGCUUCAUGUCAGAGUCUCUAAACUCCAGAAGAAGUCGAUAAAAGUCCCUUUCUUUCUAAAAAAAAGUCGUUAGGGGGUCUGAAAAGUCAUUGAAUCUAACAACAAAGUCGCUAGGUUUGCAACUACGUGUCCCAGACUGCAUCCCUGCUGAGAGUCCCUCCCUCCCUUCUCAUGUUGCAGGAAGAACGUAAGCGCCCGCCCCUUGUCAAUCAGUCACCAUAUAAUUUUGGAUUGGUUGUUGUGGUGAAGUUUUCCACCAAUAGGAGAGAUGUUGUGGUGUGUUUUUUUUUUCUUUUGGCAAGCCUUUUCCGCCUGUAAGAGCUGUCGCUAAUGUCUGCAUGCUAUGUUUUCCUGUCUCAUACAGCGCGAUCGAGUGCCGAACGUGAUCAAAAUAAGCAGAAAAAAAGUAUCGCGGACAUAAUUUAUCAUAACUCUGGUUUUAUUUGGCCUAUCAACACAAUUUAAAAACUGGUAUAUAGGUUGAGGUCCUCACUUUUGAGAUAAGUUGAAACGGAGAGUCAACGAGGCUCCGUCUUGCAGCUACAUCCGGUUAAAUAUGUCAUGUGACUUGAACGCACACACAGACACACACACGCACACACACACACACACACACACACACACUCAGAGUCUGGUUUUUAGCACCUGCAAAAACAUGCUAUUUACAUAUUUGACAAGAAUGCAGAGGCUCCUUUUGCCCCUGAAAAAAAUCAAAUUUCAAACACAACUUGACUGGUCAUUUCUCCAAAAGACAACGAUGAAGCUCCAUCCAAACCUGAAGCAGGCAGUUGGUGCAUGUGUACAGUAACCUGAGGGGAGUGAGGUGAGUGCUUCUGAGGAGAACAUGAGCAGUGAAGAUUCACCUUGGAGCUAGAACAGAGACAUGCACAUGAUUAUACAGGGGCAGGGGCUCAAGUUUUUUCCAGUCGUUUAUACAAUAUGGAAAUUAAUGUGAAAUUAAAACACAAAGUAUUAAUAGAAAGGUAAUGACUGUCCUGUGUAGGUGACAGUGAUAUCCAAUAGGCUAGGCACUCACGAGGCUGGCUGUGGCAAGUGUAAGUGAAAGCAACACGCACUGGCAGGAAGAACAGCAAACGCCGAUGAAGGAAAAGGGUCUUUGCAGUGAUGGGCGUUACCAGAGAGGGCGAUGGCCAGAGGACACAAAUGGGACGGGGAGGCAGCACGUUGGGGGGGGACGCGACACGGCUCGGGCCCGCCAGUGCCCCAACGGGGUCCUAGUUAUUUUUCCUCCCCUUUGAACUGGAAAAUGGCCCACUUCCCACUGGCGAAAACUCAUGAAAUUUGGCCGGACGACCGGGCCUGGUGAAAAAUUUGAUAUUCCGAAGUCGCCCAAACAAGAAAAUGCAAAAUGGCUCCAUAGCGCCCCCUAAGGUGAAAAUUCACACUAUUGACUGUCACGCCUGUACGCUUUGUCAAAAUGACGCAAAAAUUGACACACACAUGUAUCUCAAUAAGAUCUACAAAAAAGUCAGUGCGGGCGUAUCUGUCAAAUGUAC
rnacentral:lncRNA from 1 species